AGUCGCUUAACCAACUGAGCCACCCAGGCGCCCCUGAAGAUUUCUUUCUUGGUCACAAUCUCUCUGGUUGCAUCUGUGUUUCAGGUGUACAGAGACCAAUAAAGAAGACACCUGACCUGGUGUAAGCAUCCCCCACGUUCAGGCGCUCCAGGCUAGCCUCUCUGUGUGGGAGCGUGAAGCCGAACAAUCAACACACUCCAGCUGAUGCAAGCAUUUUCCAUGGUCAAAAGGUCUGUGAUUUCCUGCAUGCUCUGAGCAUAGAGAUGAAUAAUGGACGCACUCACGGUGAUUUAAACAUUCUUCCGUGACCACAAGUUCUAUGGCUGUGUCUAUGUGUUGGAGA